rnacentral:rRNA from 1 species
UGUAAGCGUAUACCAAAGUUGUUGCAGUUAAAACGCUCGUAGUCGGAAUUUGGCAGUUCCGGAUGUGUGCACGUCGUGUGCGCACUUCGCGGGGAUUGCUUUUGUGGUCUUGCGUAGUAUGAGGCACUUUUAUUAGUGAACGUCCUCACGCAACCACUUUUUACUGUGAGAAAAUCAGAGUGCUCAAAGCAGGCAUUUGCCGUGAAUGUAUUAGCAUGGAAUAAUAGAAUAGGACUUGGUUCUAUUUUGUUGGUUUGUUGGGACUGAGUAAUGAUUAAGAGGGACAGUUGGGGGCAUUUGUAUUUCGGUGCUAGAGGUGAAAUUCUUAGAUUACCGAAAGACAAACUGCUGCGAAAGCGUCUGCCAAGGAUGUUUUCAUUGA